rnacentral:rRNA from 1 species
GACGAACGCUGGCGGCGCGCCUAACACAUGCAAGUCGAACGGAGCUGAGAGAAGCUUGCUUUUCUUAGCUUAGUGGCGAACGGGUGAGUAACGCGUGAGUAACCUGCCCUGGAGUGGGGGACAACAGUUGGAAACGACUGCUAAUACCGCAUAAGCCCACGAUCCGGCAUCGGAUUGAGGGAAAAGGAUUUAUUCGCUUCAGGAUGGACUCGCGUCCAAUUAGCUAGUUGGUGAGGUAACGGCCCACCAAGGCGACGAUUGGUAGCCGGACUGAGAGGUUGAACGGCCACGUUGGGACUGAGACACGGCCCAGACUCCUACGGGAGGCAGCAGUGGGGGAUAUUGCACAAUGGGGGAAACCCUGAUGCAGCGACGCCGCGUGGAGGAAGAAGGUUUUCGGAUUGUAAACUCCUGUCGUGAGGGACGAUAAUGACGGUACCUAACAAGAAAGCACCGGCUAACUACGUG